rnacentral:tRNA from 1 species
UUAAACCUUUUAUUAGAA